UAGGGAAUCUUCCACAAUGGACGCAAGUCUGAUGGAGCAACGCCGCGUGAGUGAAGAAGGGCUUCGGCUCGUAAAGCUCUGUUGUUAAAGAAGAACGUGGGUAAGAGUAACUGUUUACCCAGUGACGGUAUUUAACCAGAAAGCCACGGCUAACUACGUGCCGG
rnacentral:rRNA from 1 species